GGGGUUGUGGCUCAGUGGCAGAGUGCUAGCCUAGCAUGCAUGGGGCACUAGGUUCGGUCCUCAGCACCA
rnacentral:tRNA from 1 species